rnacentral:rRNA from 1 species
GACGCAGGGGGCUAGCGUUGUUCGGAAUUACUGGGCGUAAAGCGAGUGUAGGUGGUUGUCCAAGUUGGAUGUGAAAGCCUUGAGCUCAACUCAAGAAAUGCAUUCAGGACUGGAUGGCUAGAGGACCGGAGAGGAUAGUGGAAUUCCCAGUGUAGUGGUGAAAUACGUAGAGAUUGGGAAGAACACCAGUGGCGAAGGCGGCUAUCUGGACGGUUUCUGACACUAAGACUCGAAAGCGUGGGGAGCAAACAGG